CCCUUAGACGUUCUGGGCCGCACGCGCGCUACACUGAUGCAUGCAACAAGUCUUUUCCUUGGCCGAGAGGCCUGGGCAAUCUUUGAAUAUGCAUCGUGAUGGGGAUAGACGAUUGCAAUUAUUCGUCUUCAACGAGGAAUUCCUAGUAAACGCAAGUCAUCAGCUUGCAUUGAUUACGUCCCUGCCCUUUGUACACACCGCCCGUCGCACCUACCGAUUGAAUGGUCCGGUGAAGGCUUCGGAGGCGGCUUUCUCAAUGUUUAUUCGGCGAGACUGCUGCCAAAGUUGAAUGAACCUUACCAUUUAGAGGAAGGUGAAGUCGUAACA
rnacentral:rRNA from 1 species